rnacentral:rRNA from 1 species
AACGAACGCUGGCGGCAUGCUUAACACAUGCAAGUCGAACGCUUUGUCUGGUUUCGGCCGGACAAGGAGUGGCGCACGGGUGAGUAGCGCGUGGGAACCUGCCCUCUUGUGGGGGAUAACCGUGGGAAACUGCGGCUAAUACCGCAUAAGCCCGGGAGCGGUCUUUGGAUUGGCUUUUGGGGAAAGAUUUAUCGCGAGAGGAGGGGCCCGCGUCGGAUUAGCUUGUUGGUGGGGUAACGGCCUACCAAGGCGAUGAUCCGUAGCUGGUCUGAGAGGA